CACUGUGAUGGAGCGUUCUGACC
rnacentral:miRNA from 1 species